GUGCUCACACUGGCAGCACAUAUACUAAAAUUGCAACGAUAACAGAAAUUAGCACGGCCCCUACGCAAGGGUUACAUGCAGAUUCGUGAAGAGUUCCAUUUUUUU